rnacentral:lncRNA from 1 species
AAGAACUGAUAUAAUGAUGAUGAAAGUAAAAAAUCUUGGAGAGUUUGAAAAAGUCUGAAGUCUUUUGAUGAGAUUCUUGAACAAGUGAACAAAGAAAAGAAGAAGGAGUGCAGUGAUGAUGUACUAUGAAAAAAUAAAGAAAAAAAAAUUUGAUACAGUGAUGAUGAAAAUAAAAAGUCUUGGAGAUUUCAAAAAAGUCUCAAGGCUUUUGGUGAGAUUGUUGAAAAAGUCUAUCAAGUGUAUUUUCAAUUAAAAAGUCUCUCAAAAUCCAUUCCAUAGAAGAAUCCAUCAAAAUCGGUAGACUUUUGAAUACCAGUAGACAUUUUAAAUGUAGUACCAAAUCUCAAUUGAAUACCAACGGAUUUUAUUGCCCUGAAAAAAAAAUCAUGUUUGUCUUAAUUGAAUACCACAAGAUUUAUUUAACUUUUGUAAAAGUCUUGAUUGAAUACCUCAAGAUUUUUUUGUCAUAAAAAAGUCUUUUAAAAUCCCAUGAAAUCUCAAUCCAAUACACCCUCCUAA